AUGGCUAUGAAUUUGUUUUAUUACGUUUGUACGUCCACAUCUUAUUCUCACUCCUACCCAUUUUGCUGUCAUCUGUGAACGUUAUCGAGACGUGGCAAUCUGUCUUUGUACUUGUUCACGGUAGCUUUUAGACAAUUAGAAAUAUAUUGAAAGGGCUUUAAGAUAGUUGGACAGAACGGAGUGCUGUUAUAAGAUUGGGAAUGGUACGAGAAAGGAUGUGAAAAGAGAGUUCAAUCCAUCGGAGUUGUACUAAUGUCAUGCUUUAAACUUUGAACGCUCGGAAUUCUCGUCAAUAAUGAGACGGCUGGGCGUCUGGAAAUGAACGCUGGAUUAAACAGACAAGGAAUGAAACGAACGGGAACCGGCGGAUGGCGUAACCCCCUUUCCACGUCAGCCCAUUUGUCCGGAUGGCAAUUAAAGGGAACCGGCUGUACGGCAAGUAUUUCAGCAGGCCGAACGACUUACUACAAGCUAGGCCGUGUAGGCAAGUGAUUUUCCAAUUUACUUAAUUUAACUUCGACAGUUGUAUUUCGCCAUUAAAGAAGCUGGUGAGGCGACGAAUCAAAAGCGGAGACGGUCCGAAGCGGAUCGAGAUGAGUAGAAGGCGACCGAAUCCAUUGAGUUGGAAGGAGUCGCUCGGCGGUUCGGCGAGGCGUUCACAAGGAAAAUCCGGUCGUUAAAAAAGAAAGGAAAACAAAAAGAAAAUGACAGAACGAAUGCCCUGAGAAAUGAACUGAUGACGAUGUAUAUAGCGAGGCAUUGAUUUGCAUACGCGUCACUGGCUUUUGUAACACAAUGCACAGAGUGCCCCCCUACAUGUUGACGUGAAAAAGAAGAAUUCAGCUAGCGCAACACGCGACCUAUAGAGUCGCUGCUCUUGUUCUCAAUCUUCUUUGUCGAGUCCUACUCGACUCUUCUAGCUGCUCCGCUAAAUGGUCCGCAAACAGAAAGAUAAUCCUGCUUCUCCCUAUUGGAAACUAUAGAAAGAAUUAGAACAAAACAAAUCAAGAAAUACAAAAGAAAAAGAAUAUUAGAUAAAAAUCUCGUCGGAAAGAAAUGCAAUCAAUUUGAAAAGUUUGCAUUAUUUCAUUGCCAUCAGUGGUGAUGUGAUGCUUAGCGGAGGCCAAAGAUAAUGUCUCUAGUUCCAUUUCCAUGUCCACACUAAAUCAACAGAGAACACACACAAUCAAUGGUUCGUAAAUGCCCUUUUGCAAACGAUGCGACGAACCGCAGAAAGAGAACGGCGGUCGUCUUAAUCAUGUCGAUGGAGAAGGCCGCUUCAUCGCUUUCUCCACGACGCUCCAGCGGACAUCCAUCUCUUUCCACUCAUUCGAUCUUCCCCUUUCUGCGUAUAACCAAAGUCAAAAACAAGUUUUCCUAUAAAGUGCUACAGCUCGAUGUCGUAACUUUUGAACCCAUCUUCUUCCUGAUGGCUCGUCAUCGUUUCUUUUUUCGCUGUAUUGCUUUUUGUUGAUAAAAUAAUGUUGCGUGAUUCAAUCGAGAGCUAUAUAAUGACUCGUGUAUCCAGUUUUUAAUGUCUUUCUUCGUUUCCUUUUAUUUUUGACCAUUAGACGACAGACACAUGGAUCCCAGUGCGCUUUACGGCAUCGAGAGAAGAUGUGAUGGCGAACACUGUGAUAAUCGUCGCACAAUCCAAUUUGUUGGAGUGUGGUAAAUCAUCAAUUCAUUAAAAUGUCUACCCGAAUGAGUAUUGCCGCUGCUUCUGCUUUCAGAACGCGAGCACUCAAAGACGUACGUGAGCGAUGAGCAUAGCUUUGAUCUUUCUUCCUCUCCAAAUGUGUCAUGCAACACAUCUUCAUGUGGAACAGUCAACCAUUCCAGCUGAGAUACAUAUAUGUACAUGUAUGCUAGUUUUAUUUAACUUCUUCCACGUUACGAUAUGCAACGUCAACCCCCUCCUGUACUGAUUCGUUCGGCAAA